GAUGAACGCUGGCGGCGUGCCUAAUACAUGCAAGUCGAGCGAACAGAUGAGAAGCUUGCUUGUCUGAUGUUAGCGGCGGACGGGUGAGUAACACGUGGGUAACCUACCUAUAAGACUGGGAUAACUUCGGGAAACCGUGGCUAAUACCGGAUAAUAUAUUGAACCGCAUGGUUCAAUAGUGAAAGACGGUUUCGGCUGUCACGUAUAGAUGGACUGGCGCCGUAUUAGCUAGUUGGUAAGGUAACGGCUUACCAAGGCGACGAUACGUAGCCGACCUGAGAGGGUGAUCGGCCACACUGGAACUGAGACACGGUCCAGACUCCUACGGGAGGCAGCAGUAGGGAAUCUUCCGCAAUGGGCGAAAGCCUGACGGAGCAACGCCGCGUGAGUGAUGAAGGUCUUCGGAUCGUAAAACUCUGUUGUUAGGGAAGAACAAAUUUGUUAGUAACUGAACAAGUCUUGACGGUACCUAACCAGAAAGCCACGGCUAACUACGUGCCAGCAGCCGCAGUAA
rnacentral:rRNA from 1 species